AUUGAACGCUGGCGGCAGGCUUAACACAUGCAAGUCGAACGAGUGUCGGACGGGUGAGUAAUGCUUGGGAAUCUAGCUUCUGGAGGGGGAUAACUACGGGAAACUGUAGCUAAUACCGCGUACCAUAGGAUGAGCCCAAGUGGGAUUAGGUAGUUGGUGAGGUAAAGGCUCACCAAGCCGACGAUCUCUAGCUGGUCUGAGAGGAUGACCAGCCACACUUGGAAUGAGACACGGCCCAGACUCCUACGGGAGGCAGCAGUGGGGAAUAUUGCGCAAUUGUGACAACCUGACGCAGCCAUGCCGCGAGAAUGAAGAAGGCCUUCGGGGUGUAAAGUGCGUUCAGUAGAGAGGCGUUAGCGACAGAAGAAGCACCGACUAACUCCGUGCCAGCAGCCGCGGUAAUUC
rnacentral:rRNA from 1 species